rnacentral:rRNA from 1 species
UACGAAGGGGGCUAGCGUUGCUCGGAAUGACUGGGCGUAAAGGGCGCGUAGGCGGAGUGCUUUGUCAGGCGUGAAAUUCCAGGGCUUAACCUUGGGGCUGCGUUUGAGACGGGCAUUCUUGGGUAUGGAAGAGGGUCGUGGAAUUCCCAGUGUAGAGGUGAAAUUCGUAGAUAUUGGGAAGAACACCGGUGGCGAAGGCGGCGACCUGGUCCGAUACUGACGCUGAGGCGCGAAAGCGUGGGGAGCAAACAGG